rnacentral:rRNA from 1 species
AUUGAACGCUGGCGGCAGGCCUAACACAUGCAAGUCGAGCGAGCGUCGGACGGGGGAGUAAUGUAUGGGGACUGCUCGAUUGAGGGGGAUAACUACUGGAAACGGUAGCUAAUACCGCAUAGUAUCGAAUAACCCCUAUGGGAUUAGCUAGUAGGUGAGGUAAUGGCUCACCUAGGCGACGAUCCCUCGCUGGGCUGAGAGGAUGAUCAGCCACACUGGGACGGAGACACGGCCCAGACUCCUACGGAGGCAGCAGUGGGGAAUAUUGCAAAAUGGGCGCAAGCCUGAUGCAGCCAUGCCGCUGGGAUGAAGAAGGCCCUAGGGUUGAAAAGUACUUUCAGUCGGGAGGCGUUACCGACAGAAGAAGCACCGGCUAACUCCGUGCCAGCAGCCGCGGUAAUUC